rnacentral:misc_RNA from 1 species
GAUGAAGAACGUAGCGAAAUGCGAUAAGUAAUGUGAAUUGCAGAAUUCAGUGAAUCAUCGAAUCUUUGAACGCACCUUGCGCCCUUUGGCCAUUCCGAAGGGCAUGCCUGUUUGAGUAUCAUGAACACCUCAACUCUUUAUGGUUUUCCAUGAUGAGCUUGGACUCUGGGGGUUUUGCUGGCUCACAGUCGGCUCCUCUGAAAUGAAUCAGCUUACCAGUGUUUGGUGGGUAUCAUAGGUGUGAUAACUAUCUACGCUUGUGGUUUUUCCACCAGGUAACCUUCAGCAGUGGAGGUUCGCUGGAGCUCAUAGAUGUCUCUCCUCAGUGAGGACAGCCCUUUGAAUGUUUGAUCUCAAAUCAGGUAGGACUACCCGCUGAACUUAAGCAUACAAUAAGCGGAGGA